CACGUGGAUAACCUACCUAUAAGACUGGGAUAACUUCGGGAAACCGGAGCUAAUACCGGAUAAUAUAUUGAACCGCAUGGUUCAAUAGUGAAAGACGGUUUUGCUGUCACUUGUAGAUGGAUCCGCGCCGCAUUAGCUAGUUGGUAAGGUAACGGCUUACCAAGGCAACGAUGCGUAGCCGACCUGAGAGGGUGAUCGGCCACACUGGAACUGAGACACGGUCCAGACUCCUACGGGAGGCAGCAGUAGGGAAUCUUCCGCAAUGGGCGAAAGCCUGACGGAGCAACGCCGCGUGAGUGAUGAAGGUCUUCGGAUCGUAAAACUCUGUUAUUAGGGAAGAACAAAUGUGUAAGUAACUAUGCACGUCUUGACGGUACCUAAUCAGAAAGCCACGGCUAACUACGUG
rnacentral:rRNA from 1 species